AGAUUUUAAUAAAUUUUUCUUUUCUUAAUUAUCUUCGACCGUUUGAAAUCAGAAUCCCUUAACUGAAGGGGGAUUCUAUCUAAUUGAUUGCAAACUAUUUUCUUACCUUUUCUUACUUGUUUUCUACACUAUAAAAGGGGCACGACCCUUUUGCACUCAUACCAUCUCGAACCUUUAAUUCAACACCUUCAACUUACCUUGCUCAUACACUUACAAUUCAUUACUUCUUUGAGUUCAAUACUCGAGCACACAUUAUUCACUUGCAGUUUGAAUACUCUUGCAACAUUCUGCUCUCUGCUGAGAUCCUUUGGACUGUUUGCCUGCAACUUGGUUUUUCUCAAGACUACUAUUUUACUUGUUUGUUUCCCUGAAACUGGUAUGUUCUAAUUUAACUUUUCAAUUUCACCCCUAUGUGUGUACUUUAUAGUUUCAGCAUUCUUGUUUACUUUGUUGUUAUGUUCAAUAUUUACUAUGCAUGUCCUUCUCUCUGCAUCUGCUGUUUGUUGUGAAUUCCCCAUACCCCUACUCCUUUCUAUGUGUUUGAGUUAAGAUUCAUGGCCUAGAAGUAUUCAAAUUACUGCUCAGGACAGAACCAGAUCCUCAGUAAGUCCUAACUCCUAAAUCUGGCUAACAGGCUGGUCAAGGGUGUGCCAGCACUCCUAAUUGCUGAGCAUGACCACCAGCCUACCAGGACCUUCCCAGAAUCCCUUCUAUUUCACUUACACUGAUUCAUUGUUUCUAAGUUCUGCCCCCUCCCAUGAGCCUUGCUUUGGGACCUUGAGUUCCCUCUGAACUUGGACAUUUAAGGGCUGCCCUUUCAUACUGCACUUUAAUCAGUUCUAUAAUGUAUUUGGGUGUAAGCAUAGCCCGGAGUCCACUUGAGGCUCUUGGGAACUUUAACACACCCAAAAAUGAGAAAGACUGUGGAAAUUCUGAUCUUCAAAGUUGAUUCAUCUCAUAUUUACACCUUGAGUCUGAAUUAGGUGCCUUGAUUGUAGUUUAAGUUCUGAUGUAAUUUUACUUUUGUCUGUAAUAAUUUGUAAUAACUUAUGGGGUAUAUAGUGAAAAAAUAUGGGGGGUCGCUCAUGUAUGUAUAUGGGUAGACAUCAUCUUCUUUGGAUUUUAUUCCUAUACCCUGUCUAUUGUUCUUUAUCUAUGCAUGCCAUAUAGAAAUCCUGCUUAUAGACCUUUAUUUAUGCAUUUC
rnacentral:lncRNA from 1 species